UACGUAGGGGGCAAGCGUUGUCCGGAAUUACUGGGCGUAAAGCGUGCGCAGGCGGUUGUGCAAGACAGAUGUGAAAUCCCCGGGCUCAACCUGGGAAUUGCAUUUGUGACUGCACGGCUAGAGUGUGUCAGAGGGGGGUAGAAUUCCACGUGUAGCAGUGAAAUGCGUAGAGAUGUGGAGGAAUACCGAUGGCGAAGGCAGCCCCCCUGGGAUAACACUGACGCUCAUGCACGAAAGCGUGGGGAGCAAACAGG
rnacentral:rRNA from 1 species